GGCGAUCGCGCCAUUGCAUUACACUUUAGUCCAGAAGAAGAUGAAAGUGGUGCUGAGGUGCAGACCUGAUGAUGAAGGACUGUUGCAGACAUUCCCUGCGUCUGACUCACUGCUGUGGAGUGGCACUCCAGUCCUGAUAUCUGCCGUCUGGGUCGUGUCAGAGGACCAGACCGGCUCAUAAUCAUGCGGCCCUCAGCGCCUUCGUCCAGAAGACAAACGCAGAAAAAAAUAGACAAAAAUCCAAACAACAAAAGAUGCAGGAUUUGGUCACAAAGGCGGGACACUGAGGACAAGGUCCAGGGUGACACAAUCUGGAGAGAAACGCGGGUGAUGUUAAAAAAGGAAUAAAUGUGCCAUUUAAUUGUUUUG